AUCAGUGGUUCUUACGGUGUGUUUGCUACUAUUGAAACGUCAGUGUACAGUAGUCUGCACAUUGGCUUCUUGUGAU
ensembl:miRNA